UUUCUGUGCUGGCCGGUAGAACGGCCGCGUCGCCAAGCUGCAGCGGGUGCCGCGGCGGACGAGGCGCCGCUUGUGUCGGAGCCCGAAGCGCCCGCGGAGCUGGCACGGUGGUGGCUCUGCUGUAUGUGGGAGCUCGGUUCCGUCCUCAACUUCCUCCACGUUGCAGAAGAGCUGAAAUUGAAUUGUACAAGGAGCUUGAACCAUCGACUCGCUUACUGAUCUUGAAAGCAAUAUGCGACAUACGUGUCGAGGUCCGUGCUAUUGCCAUCCUAGGGAGGCAAUGAAGUUUUUCAAAGUGCCAAUCUUUUAAAAUGUGCAUUGCGAUUGUUAGAAAGCUUAUUUCACUAUGCUGAGAAGCGAUACAGGGGCAUAAAGCAAGCGAGCAGGUGUGUGCAGCGACCUGCUACUGCACUAAUAGCCUUGACAGAGCACCGGGGCCGGCUCGACAGGGCAUGCCGCCUGCCGGUGGACACCUGGAUGUGCGCGCCGGAGAUGGACCCGCUUCGUUGCCUCUGCAGCCUAGACAGAGCUCCGCCAGUGCUGAGACGUGCUCCCGUCGUUGUUGGCUGUCGAAUUUGCAAUGCAAUCCAUCCCUAUGUCGAUGUCUUAACCACUUCGUAUUUCGGCACAAUCCGCAGAACAUAGCAGCUGCCGCAAUUUACCCAUUGAUUUCUUGGAGUGAUCCAAACCUAGGAAAGCCUGCUACUUGUGCAAACAACAGGGUAAGAAGUUUCAGUUUUCUUACUAAUGCACCUCAAUUUGAAAGGUUAGAACAUUUUAUUCACCCGUCCUAUUUUUUAUCUAUACUGAUGAUCAUUUUUUCAUCUCUGUGAUCUUCUUUGCUCCAGUUGUGUUAAUACUUUGUUUGCACGUCAGUGGAAAUUAAAAUUUCUUGCUACCAUGAGAGUUACUCCAUGUCAGUAUGUACAUGCAGAUGUAAGCAAUGGAGAAACUCGUGCAGAUGAUGAUUGAAGCAUUCUUCACGAAUUUUCCAACCUAAACUGGCUACAGAGUUGGGGAAAAGACGAGUCUAGGCUCUUGAUGAACACAUCUUCUUUCCCAGAUGACUAACAGUUGGCACCUCUAUACAUUACAUCAGGCCAACGCUACAAAGCCCCUGUUUGGGAAUAUUUGACUCAGAGCUUUUGCUGAAUGGUAUUGUCGUCCAGAAGCUAGAGUUCGAAAGAUUAUUUGAAAUUAUCAGGCAGUGGCCCUCUUCAAGUCCUACUUUGGUGGAACUUUUGAUCAAGAUGCUAUCAGGAAUAACUUGGUGCUAAUAUACAAACUUCUUGAUGUGCAGAGAUUAUGGACUUUGGUUAUCCUUAGAAUCUCUCACCUAAAUUUUUGAAGUUAUACAUAACCCAGGAACGUGUACGGUCGCCAUUUUCCUCCAAGCCUUCAGAUAAGCCUGUUCUAAAUGCGACCCUGCAAGUUAUCGGUGUUGUUGGUUGGAGAAGAGAUGGUAUUGUGUACAAGAAGAAUGAGGGUCAAACUUUUGAUUUUGGCACUUAGUAAACUGCAUCUUGUGCAUUGGAGGAGGUAGCCCCUGGACUGGUGAAGACGUGAAGGGCGACACGAGGAGGCUUGUGGUGGUUCCAGGAGCAUCUCUUCGACAAGUAGCAGUGCACUACGUUGGACAGCUACCAACCGAGACGGCCGGCUGCCUGACAAGGACACCAUUUCUGGUCUUACAGUCCUGGAGCGGUGAGCAUCUGAGCUUCCAUCACCGAUCUGAAUAACAAACUUGCGGCGCUCCUUAGCGUCACUGAUUGAAACAUUAGCAACAACAAUACUUGCUUCAGGCUUAAGGAGUAAAGAACGGCAAGCAUGGAUGACAGAGGGACAACACCUGCUCCAAAUUUGAAAAAUCCAGGAGGUUUACAACAGGCAUGCAAGGUCCUCGAAAAGUUCAAGUAAGUGCUAUACGUGACGUAGAGGAGAAUGCUAUAUAGGACAUGCACAUGUAGUUGCUGCUUCUAAAGAACGGCACAAGUUUAGACCAAACGCUGGGAGAAUACAAAAGGUAUAAUUGCAUAAAGUUUACUACUGUAAUAGAUCCAGGUUGCAGUGAUGAAGAGGACAAUGAUGUGUAGGACAUAGUGGUCGUUACUUCUAUAGAUUCAGAAGGAUGCAGGUUCGGAUCAAUUGUCAAGAUGAUACAAAAGGUGUUGCACAAAUUUUACAUACUACGUUGGGUGAUUUGUUUGGCAUUCAUUCUCUGUUAUGCCUGAUGCAUGUGUCUUAAGCCUACUAAUAACUUUUUGGAUCAAUGGUAAAUCUACUGAACAAACUCCUGUCUUAUCCCUAUUGUGUGUCUUAAGGUUAAUCUAUUCAUGGUUAGUUUUCCUUACUGUACAAAUAUCUUCUCUUUUUUGUAUAUUUUCUCUUCUCUGUCCUUUACGGUAAUAUAGACCGUGCUCACAUUGUUGCAGCUUGCAAUUAGUUCUAGAUUUGUUCAUGAGUGUCAUUCGAGGUCAGAGUAAAUAUUUUGGCAGAGUAAACAAUGAUGGAAGUGUCAUACAAUUUCGUCUUAUAUAGCUAUAACAAUUUUGAUACAUAUUUUUAUCUGAUUAACUUGCACUUCUGCACCACCAUAACAAGCGGUGGAGAUCUGCCUCUUUGUUUUCAAUUAAUGUGAGAACUUC